rnacentral:rRNA from 1 species
CCUACGGGAGGCUGCAGUGAGGAAUAUUGGUCAAUGGCCGAAAGGCUGAACCAGCCAAGUCGCGUGAAGGAUGACUGCCCUACGGGUUGUAAACUUCUUUUAUCGAGGAAUAAAGUGAGGCACGCGUGCCUUUUUGUGUGUACUUGAUGAAUAAGCAUCGGCUAACUCCGUGCCAGCAGCCGCGGUAAUACGGAGGAUCCGAGCGUUAUCCGGAUUUAUUGGGUUUAAAGGGAGCGUAGGUGGGUUGUGAAGUCAGUGGGGAAAGUUUGCGGCUCAACCGUAAUAUUGCAAUUGAUACUGGCAGUCUUGAGUACAGUUGAGGUAGGCGGAAUGCGUGGUGUAGCGGUGAAAUGCAUAGAUAUCACGAAGAACUCCGAUUGCGAAGGCAGCUUACCAAACCGCCACUGACAUUGAUGCUCGAAAGUGUGGGUAUCAAACAGGAUUAGAUACCCGUGUAGUC